rnacentral:rRNA from 2 species
AAACUUUCAACAACGGAUCUCUUGGUUCUGGCAUCGAUGAAGAACGCAGCGAAAUGCGAUAAGUAAUGUGAAUUGCAGAAUUCAGUGAACCAUCGAAUCUUUGAACGCACAUUGCGCCCUGUGGUAUUCCGCAGGGCAUGCCUGUUCGAGCGUCAUU